rnacentral:ncRNA from 1 species
CGGGGAUUUCGGCAGCCUCCCCGUCAGAUGGAUCGCCAUCCAAGCGCUGC